rnacentral:rRNA from 1 species
GACAGAGGAUGCAAGCGUUAUCCGGAAUGAUUGGGCGUAAAGCGUCUGUAGGUGGCUUUUCAAGUCUGCCGUCAAAUCCCAGGGCUUAACCCUGGACAGGCGGUGGAAACUACCAAGCUGGAGUACGGUAGGGGCAGGGGGAAUUUCCGGUGGAGCGGUGAAAUGCGUAGAGAUCGGAAAGAACACCAACGGCGAAAGCACUCUGCUGGGCCGACACUGACACUGAGAGACGAAAGCUAGGGGAGCGAAUGGG